rnacentral:piRNA from 1 species
UUUACAACUUGGAUUGAUGAUCUUGGC